CCUACGGGUGGCUGCAGUGGGGAAUAUUGCACAAUGGGGGAAACCCUGAUGCAGCGACGCCGCGUGAGUGAAGUAGUAUUUCGGUAUGUAAAGCUCUGUCAGCAGGGAAGAAACUGACGGUACCUGAACAAGAAGCCCCGGCGAAAUAAGUUCCAACAGCCCGGGUUAUACGUAGGGGGCAGGCGUUACUCGGAUUUACUGGGUGUAAAGGGGAGGUAGACGGCAUGGCAAGUCUGGAGGGAAAGGCGGGUGCUCAACCCCCGGACUGCUCUGGAAACUGCCAGGCUGGAGUGCAGGAUGGGGAAGUGGAAUUCCUAGUGUAGCGGUGAAAUGCGUAGAUAUUAGGAGGAAAACCGGUGGCGAAGGCGGCUUACUGGACUGUAACUGACGUUGAGGCUCGAAAGCGUGGGGAGCAAACAGGAUUAGAUACCCCGGUAGUC
rnacentral:rRNA from 1 species